rnacentral:rRNA from 1 species
GAUGAACGCUGGCGGCGCGCCUAACACAUGCAAGUCGAACGAGUGGCGAACGGGUGAGUAACACGUGACCAACCCGCCCCCCCCACCGGGACAACCUCGGGACACCGAGGCUAAUACCGGCUAGGAGGGGACGGGGUCGCGGCCGAUCAGGUGUACGGGGGGGCGAAGGCCCGCCGUGCCGACGACGGGUAGCCGGGGGGAGAGGCCGAUCGGCAACAUGGGGACUGAGACACGGCCCAGACUCCUACGGGAGGGAGCAGUGGGGAAUAUGGCGCAAUGGGGGAAACGCUGACGCAGCGACGGCGCGUGAGGGAAGGAGGCCUGCGGGUAGUAAACCGCUUUCAGCAGGGAAGCGGUACCUGCAGAAGAAGCACCGGCUAACUACGUGCCAGCAGCCGCGGUAAUUC